rnacentral:snRNA from 1 species
AUACUUACUUGACAGGGGAAAUACCAUUAUCAUGAAGGUGAUUUUCCCAGGGCAAGGCUUAUCCAUUGUACUCCUUAUGUGCUGACCCCUGCAAUUUCCUCAAAUGUGGGAAACUCAACUGCAUAAUUUCGGUAGUGGGGGACUGCGUUUGUGCUCCCCCCUA